GGAUCAAGUCUAUGACCUUGAACCUAACCUAAAUUCAUUUGAAUUUUAUUAGGUGCCUAAUUAUGAGCCUAAAAGGAUUGGAUUAAGUCAAUAAGUUGGCUAAAUUAUCUCUUCAUUAUCUCCUCAUUAUCUCCUAAUGUGUGUGUGGAAUUAUUGGAAAGAUAGGUGGCACCUUCCUCCAUUUUUGGUAGGAUCAAGGGGCACCAACCCCUGGAUAAUGCAAGAGGAGCCCACCC
rnacentral:lncRNA from 1 species